GUAGUACUCCCUCCGUCCGGAAAUUCUUGUUAUCAAAAUGAAUAAAAGGGGAUGUAUCUAAAUGUAUAUUAGUUCUAGAUACAUCUUUUUUAUCCAUUUUGAUGACAAGUAUUUUCGGACAGAGGGAGUACUUG
rfam:Triticum aestivum genome assembly, contig: Triticum_aestivum_CS42_TGACv1_scaffold_641512_T_4AS-0.212002_4AL-0.164856